GAUUUCUGGUCUGCCAUGCCUGGCCCGCCACGGUUACGUGUGUGAGUGCCGGUGCGUGGCAACCAUCCUUCUGGAGAACGCGUCUACCCUUCACUGGGCCGGAUGCGCGAUUCAGAUCGUUUACUUUGAAAAAAUUAGAGUGUUUAAAGCAGGCUUUUUGCUAUGAAUACAUUAGCAUGGAAUAAUAAUUUAGGACUUCGGUUCUAUUUUGUUGGUUUCUAGAUCUGAAGUAAUGAUUGAUAGGGAUAGUUGGGGGUGCUCGAAUUCAGCGGCCAGAGGUGAAAUUCUUGGAUUCGCUGAAGACGAACUCAUGCGAAAGCAUU
rnacentral:rRNA from 1 species